UUGGCUUGGAGGUCUACCUCUUCUUCAUACAUUAAGGGUGGUGGAAGAUUUGGGAGAACAAGAGGCCUUUGAACAAGAAUUGGCAAAAAGCAAGAAUAGGGUUGGUAGUUCAAGAGCAACGCAGCCUCGAAUGUGAAGAUAUUUUACAGGUGGUGGUCC